rfam:Solanum lycopersicum cultivar Heinz 1706 chromosome 12, whole genome shotgun sequence.
GGUUCAAAGAUGAUGGCGCUUUUCUAUUUCUGACACCUCUUGUAUGGGAAGAGCCUUCAAAAGGUUCUUUCCUUGGGAACAUUAAGCAAAAAUCUGAACC